CAUCGCCCAUCACACUAUGGGAGCUGGCCAUGCCCGAAGUCGUUACCUUAACUACAAGGAGGGGGAUGUCGAAGGCAAGGCUAGUGACUAGAAUAAAGUUGUAACAAGAUAGCCAACUGAAAGGUGCAG
rnacentral:ncRNA from 1 species